AAUAGUUUGAACUUCGGAGUCGAAUAGCUGCAAUGCACAGCUCAAGUCUUGUAACUGAAAGAGUGUGUAAAAAUUUGUCCAUGGUACUAAUUGACUAGAACAUUCUUGCAACAAUUUACAGAAAACCGCCACAGUCUGCAACUUGGGGAAAUGGAGAUGGAUAAUGGAUACAAUUUGGUCAACCCUGUAUUAAGUCGUCACCCACGGGAAUAAGGCGUUCAAUACAGUGCGAGUGCUUAAAUACGGUGCCACCUAAGACAGGACGUGUAUUUUGAUGCGCACGCUACUCAGCUGGAGUUGGGCUUCCGAUCUGAUGUUUGGCGCGCGUUCACUUACCUUCAUGUUUGGGACAAAGCCUUUCUUAAUAAGGAACGAGUUUUUGUUCAAGCGCUCGAUGAAAGAGCACUCCUCUUUGAAUGUACGGUGUUCUUUCGCCAUGUUAUUCCUUUCAUUCACGUUUCACAACGGUUUCAGCUGAUUCAGCGAGGAGAGAAAAGAUCUUUCGCGAUAAAUCAGCGAUGACUCCUGUUUAAAUCACGCGCAGUACAAUUUCAUAUCCAGUCUUUCUCUGGCAAGUAAUCCAUAAUGGCGGACGACGUGAGAGUGUUUUAUUAACUCUCUAGGGAUAAACCAGACCUGUUGCUGUUAUUCAAAAGAGCGUUUACAUUCAGUUUCUCAGUUAAAGCUCUUUGCUCAUUGCUCCAUAAUGGCAGAGAAGAAUUCGAAAGGGAAGAAGCGGAAAUGGGAACCAGUAGUAUUGGACGAUCCUUCGUUCUUUGCGGGCGAAAUGGAUGGAUUUGUGUCCCUUGAAGUCAUGGAAGAUUAUGAUCUAAAAGAACUAACAGGAAUUGGUAUAAGUGGACCAGCUCGGAAGAAGAAAAUAAAAGAGCGGCCGCCGCAGAAGG